CAAAGGGGCAAAGGCACUGCCUGGAGAAGCGGAGGGGAGGCAGGGGAAGGGCGGGCUGCAAUUUCUUUUUAUCGUUUUAUUAUCCCCGGAUUACACGGAAGGAAAACAACCGCAAUCAAAGGGCUAUAAUACACGUGAGGAGGUAUUUCUGUCCCUCGACAACCCCCGGAGUUUCGGCUAUGGACUUCCCCUGCCAGCCUGGGAUGGAGAGACAGAGCUCUCGGCUCCAGGUGGAGCAGCGGGCACCGAUCCCCGGGGUUCGGGAGCCCAACACAGACCGUCCCAUGUCACCGGGCGGAGAGUGAGAAGCAGCGGCCUCGGCUCCCCUCUUCCCCACGGGGCUGAUUUUAUUUUCCACGCAGCCCCAUCCCUCUGCCCCCCUUCUCCCUUUGAUAAUCCGCAACUUUUGCUCUUCUUCCCAUCAGCUUAUUAAACGCGCGGCGGGGGUGAGCGGAAAGGCAUGUCGGCUCAGCCCGCGGAAUCUAUCCGGGAUUUAUUUCCAGUGGGUGGAAAAGAAACGAAAUCCCGGCGUUACCUUCCUGCCCUCCACCAACAACCAGUUUCUGCCAGUGCCCCGUGCCCUGGUCCAACACCACCACGGCCGCCAGUCGGGCGGUCCCCGCCGCCCCUUCACCGCCCAGCAGCAGCCGGGACCGCGCCGCCUCGUCGGGCACCACGAAGUGGAGCGGCACAGCCCCACCGCGGGCCCGCCGCAUCACCACCGAGUUGAGGUUGACGUUGAGCGAGCCGCGGAGGCAGGAGGCCGAGUAGGACAGGAGGCAGGAAGUGCCAUCGCUGCCUCAGAUUGCCUGCAGCUGAAACAGAGAAGCAUGAAAGAGGCUGUGCGGGGAGGAAAAGGCUCAGGCUGAUUAAAAGAACAGCAACUACUGGUUUCGAA